rnacentral:rRNA from 1 species
CUGAUGGCGACCGGCGCACGGGUGAGUAACACGUAUCCAACCUGCCGUCUACUCUUGGCCAGCCUUCUGAAAGGAAGAUUAAUAUCCGAUAGCAUAUAUUUCCCGCAUGGGUUUUAUAUUAAAGAAAUUCGGUAUGAGAUGGGGAUGCGUUCCAUUAGUUUGUUGGGGGGGUAACGGCCCACCAAGACUACGAUGGAUAGGGGUUCUGAGAGGAAGGUCCCCCACAUUGGAACUGAGACACGGUCCAA